rnacentral:tRNA from 1 species
GUUAAUGUAGCUUAAUAAAAGCAAAGCACUGAAAAUGCUUAGAUGAGCUUCCUAGCUCCAUAAACA